rnacentral:rRNA from 1 species
GGGUUGUGAGGUUAAGCGACUAAGCGUACACGGUGGAUGCCCUGGCAGUCAGAGGCGAUGAAGGACGUGCUAAUCUGCGAAAAGCGUCGGUAAGGUGAUAUGAACCGUUAUAACCGGCGAUGUCCGAAUGGGGAAACCCAGUGUGAUUCGUCACACUAUCGUUAACUGAAUACAUAGGUUAACGAGGCGAACCGGGGGAACUGAAACAUCUAAGUACCCCGAGGAAAAGAAAUCAACCGAGAUUCCCCCAGUAGCGGCGAGCGAACGGGGAGCAGCCCAGAGUCUGAAUCAGCUUGUGUGUUAGUGGAACGGUCUGGAAAGUCCGACGGUACAGGGUGAUAGUCCCGUACACCAAAAUGCACAGGUUGUGAACUCGAAGAGUAGGGCGGGACACGUGGUAUCCUGUCUGAAUAUGGGGGGACCAUCCUCCAAGGCUAAAUACUCCUGACUGACCGAUAGUGAACCAGUACCGUGAGGGAAAGGCGAAAAGAACCCCGGCGAGGGGAGUGAAAAAGAACCUGAAACCGUGUACGUACAAGCAGUGGGAGCACCUUCGGGUGUGACUGCGUACCUUUUGUAUAAUGGGUCAGCGACUUAUAUUCUGUAGCAAGGUUAACCGUAUAGGGGAGCCGCAGGGAAACCGAGUCUUAACUGGGCGUUAAGUUGCAGGGUAUAGACCCGAAACCCGGUGAUCUAGCCAUGGGCAGGUUGAAGGUUGGGUAACACUAACUGGAGGACCGAACCGACUAAUGUUGAAAAAUUAGCGGAUGACUUGUGGCUGGGGGUGAAAGGCCAAUCAAACCGGGAGAUAGCUGGUUCUCCCCGAAAGCUAUUUAGGUAGCGCCUCGUGAACUCAUCUUCGGGGGUAGAGCACUGUUUCGGCUAGGGGGUCAUCCCGACUUACCAACCCGAUGCAAACUACGAAUACCGAAGAAUGUUAUCACGGGAGACACACGGCGGGUGCUAACGUCCGUCGUGAAGAGGGAAACAACCCAGACCGCCAGCUAAGGUCCCAAAGUCAUGGUUAAGUGGGAAACGAUGUGGGAAGGCACAGACAGCCAGGACGUUGGCUUAGAAGCAGCCAUCAUUUAAAGAAAGCGUAAUAGCUCACUGGUCGAGUCGGCCUGCGCGGAAGAUGUAACGGGGCUAAACCAUGCACCGAAGCUGCGGCAGCGACACUAUGUGUUGUUGGGUAGGGGAGCGUUCUGUAAGCCUGCGAAGGUGACCUGUGAGGGUUGCUGGAGGUAUCAGAAGUGCGAAUGCUGACAUAAGUAACGAUAAAGCGGGUGAAAAGCCCGCUCGCCGGAAGACCAAGGGUUCCUGUCCAACGUUAAUCGGGGCAGGGUGAGUCGACCCCUAAGGCGAGGCCGAAAGGCGUAGUCGAUGGGAAACAGGUUAAUAUUCCUGUACUUGGUGUUACUGCGAAGGGGGGACGGAGAAGGCUAUGUUAGCCGGGCGACGGUUGUCCCGGUUUAAGCAUGUAGGCUGGUUAUCCAGGCAAAUCCGGAUAAUCAAGGCUGAGGUGUGAUGACGAGGCACUACGGUGCUGAAGUAACAAAUGCCCUGCUUCCAGGAAAAGCCUCUAAGCAUCAGGUAACAUCAAAUCGUACCCCAAACCGACACAGGUGGUCAGGUAGAGAAUACCAAGGCGCUUGAGAGAACUCGGGUGAAGGAACUAGGCAAAAUGGUGCCGUAACUUCGGGAGAAGGCACGCUGGUGUGUAGGUGAAGUCCCUGCGGAUGGAGCUGAGACCAGUCGAAGAUACCAGCUGGCUGCAACUGUUUAUUAAAAACACAGCACUGUGCAAACACGAAAGUGGACGUAUACGGUGUGACGCCUGCCCGGUGCCGGAAGGUUAAUUGAUGGGGUUAUCCGUAAGGAGAAGCUCUUGAUCGAAGCCCCGGUAAACGGCGGCCGUAACUAUAACGGUCCUAAGGUAGCGAAAUUCCUUGUCGGGUAAGUUCCGACCUGCACGAAUGGCGUAAUGAUGGCCAGGCUGUCUCCACCCGAGACUCAGUGAAAUUGAACUCGCUGUGAAGAUGCAGUGUACCCGCGGCAAGACGGAAAGACCCCGUGAACCUUUACUAUAGCUUGACACUGAACAUUGAGCCUUGAUGUGUAGGAUAGGUGGGAGGCUUUGAAGCGUGGACGCCAGUCUGCGUGGAGCCAACCUUGAAAUACCACCCUUUAAUGUUUGAUGUUCUAACGUUGGCCCCUGACCGGGGUUGCGGACAGUGUCUGGUGGGUAGUUUGACUGGGGCGGUCUCCUCCCAAAGCGUAACGGAGGAGCACGAAGGUUAGCUAAUCCUGGUCGGACAUCAGGAGGUUAGUGCAAUGGCAUAAGCUAGCUUGACUGCGAGCGUGACGGCGCGAGCAGGUGCGAAAGCAGGUCAUAGUGAUCCGGUGGUUCUGAAUGGAAGGGCCAUCGCUCAACGGAUAAAAGGUACUCCGGGGAUAACAGGCUGAUACCGCCCAAGAGUUCAUAUCGACGGCGGUGUUUGGCACCUCGAUGUCGGCUCAUCACAUCCUGGGGCUGAAGUAGGUCCCAAGGGUAUGGCUGUUCGCCAUUUAAAGUGGUACGCGAGCUGGGUUUAGAACGUCGUGAGACAGUUCGGUCCCUAUCUGCCGUGGGCGCUGGAGAAUUGAGGGGGGCUGCUCCUAGUACGAGAGGACCGGAGUGGACGCAUCACUGGUGUUCGGGUUGUCAUGCCAAUGGCACUGCCCGGUAGCUAAAUGCGGAAGAGAUAAGUGCUGAAAGCAUCUAAGCACGAAACUUGCCCCGAGAUGAGUUCUCCCUGAGACUUUAAGUCUCCUGAAGGAACGUUAAAGACGAUGACGUUGAUAGGCCGGGUGUGUAAGCGCAGCGAUGCGUUGAGCUAACCGGUACUAAUGAACCGUGAGGCUUAACCUUACAACGCCGAAG